CCAGACUCCUACGGGAGGCAGCAGUGGGGAAUAUUGCACAAUGGGCGAAGGCCUGAUGCAGCGACGCCGCGUGAGUGAAGAAGUAUUUCGGUAUGUAAAGCUCUAUCAGCAGGGAAGAAAAUGACGGUACCUGACUAGGAAGCCCCGGCUAACUACGUGCCAGCAGCCGCGGUAAUACGUAGGGGGCAAGCGUUAUCCGGAUUUACUGGGUGUAAAGGGUGCGUAGACGGAGAAGCAAGUUAGUUGUGAAAUCCCUCGGCUUAACUGAGGAACUGCAACUAAAACUACUUCCCUUGAGUACUGGAGAGGAAAGUGGAAUUCCUAGUGUAGCGGUGAAAUGCGUAGAUAUUAGGAGGAACACCAGUGGCGAAGGCGACUUUCUGGACAGUAACUGACGUUGAGGCACGAAAGUGUGGGGAGCAAACAGGAUUAGAUACCCGCGUAUCG
rnacentral:rRNA from 1 species